AUUGAACGCUGGCGGCAGGCCUAACACAUGCAAGUCGAACGAGUGGCGGACUGGUGCGUAAUGUCUGGGAACCUGCCUGAUGGAGGGGGCUAACUACUGUAAACGGUAGCUAAUACCGCUUACCAUCCUAUGUGCCCAGAUGGGAUUAGCUAGUCGGUGGGGUAAAGGCUCACCUAGGCGAGGAUCCCUAGCUGGUCUGAGAGGAUGACCAGCCACACGGGAACUGGGACCAGGGCCAGACUCCUACGGGAGGCAGCAGUGGGGAAUAUUGGACAAGGGGCGCAAGCCUGAUGAAGCCAGGCCGCGUGGAUGAAGAAGGCCUUCGGGUUGUAAAGUACUUUCAGCGGGGAGGCGGUACCCGAAGAAGAAGCACCGGCUAACUCCGUGCCAGCAGCCGCGGUAAUAC
rnacentral:rRNA from 1 species